UACGGAAGGUGCGAGCGUUGUCCGGAAUCAUUGGGCGUAAAGGGCGCGUAGGUGGCGCGGCAAGCGUGCGGUGAAAGCUCGGGGCUCAACCCCGAGUCGGCCGUGCGAACUGCUGUGCUUGAGCACUGUAGAGGCAGGCGGAAUUCCGGGUGUAGCGGUGGAAUGCGUAGAGAUCCGGAAGAACACCGGUGGCGAAGGCGGCCUGCUGGGCAGUGGCUGACACUGAGGCGCGACAGCGUGGGGAGCAAACAGG
rnacentral:rRNA from 1 species